rnacentral:tRNA from 1 species
CCCGUUGUAGCUCAGUUGGUUAGAGCGCCUGACUGUGGAUCAGGAGGUCACCAGUUCGAAUCUGGUCAACGGGA